rnacentral:lncRNA from 1 species
AGUGUGAAUAAAAAAUAGCAUGAACAUCAUGUGCAUGAUCUAAAGCAAGACCACACAUGUACAGCUAAAAAGAGGAGUGGAUCGUACAAAUCUGAGGGUGGAAGAAGACGAAUCAAUAAACAAAAUCCAGAUCUAAAGUAAACACAUGUAGAUCAGCAGUAGCAGAGCACAGAUCUGAAGUUCAUGGUACGAACCCUAAAGUUCAUGGCACAACAAACAAAAUCCACAAAUAAAUCAACAAAAUCGCCGCA